UUAAAUGCAGAGAAAGGGAAGAGUACUUUGAAACUCGCCUCCAGAGAGGGAAAUCACCUGCUGAAAGAUUUCCCAGGCCAAGACAAAGGAAUGUCGCCCUUGAGCAGUUUCCGUGAAAAUCAGCAGUAGCGGAAGCCGGUUUAAAGCCGUUAUCUCAACGAAGUGCCAGGCAUGUUUUUCUGCCUGUGUAAAAAGGUGGUACCGCGAAUCAGCUCCCUCGUCCUUUUA
rnacentral:ncRNA from 1 species